CGGGACACGUGGUAUCCUGUCUGAAUAUGGGGGGACCAUCCUCCAAGGCUAAAUACUCCUGACUGACCGAUAGUGAACCAGUACCGUGAGGGAAAGGCGAAAAGAACCCCGGCGAGGGGAGUGAAAAAGAACCUGAAACCGUGUACGUACAAGCAGUGGGAGCACGCUUAGGCGUGUGACUGCGUACCUUUUGUAUAAUGGGUCAGCGACUUAUAUUCUGUAGCAAGGUUAACCGAAUAGGGGAGCCGAAGGGAAACCGAGUCUUAACUGGGCGUUAAGUUGCAGGGUAUAGACCCGAAACCCGGUGAUCUAGCCAUGGGCAGGUUGAAGGUUGGGUAACACUAACUGGAGGACCGAACCGACUAAUGUUGAAAAAUUAGCGGAUGACUUGUGGCUGGGGGUGAAAGGCCAAUCAAAC
rnacentral:rRNA from 1 species